CUCUCUCUCUCUCUCUCUCCAUGGUUUUUCCUACUAUCAUUUAUGUAUUACAUGGUUGUUUAAAUAUUUGGAUGAUAACGUAUUAUGCAUUGAUUAAUUUGUGUUCAUUGACUAUUUUUUAAGUUCUAUCAAUUUUCUCACUACAAUAUGAUGCAUCGUUUUUGUGAAAAGUUUGGUCUCAUCUAGAAUCUCUCACACUUUUUAGUUUGUUGUUAGAUUCCUUGGUUUCAUCUUCAGUUUCUUGGUCAUCUGUGUUUAACUAUUUUCCCUUGAUGAAAUCAAACCAUAUCAUUUUUUCAUCAAAUACCAUUCUAAAGUUAUUUUAACAUUUGUAAUGAGAUUAAAAUGUGAUCUGUUUUAACUUUAUGCAGGG
rnacentral:misc_RNA from 1 species